AUUGAACGCUGGCGGCAGGCCUAACACAUGCGAGUCGAGCGGAUGAAGGGAGCUUGCUCCUGGAUUCAGCGGCGGACGGGUGAGUAAUGCCUAGGAAUCUGCCUGGUAGUGGGGGAUAACGUCCGGAAACGGGCGCUAAUACCGCAUACGUCCUGAGGGAGAAAGUGGGGGAUCUUCGGACCUCACGCUAUCAGAUGAGCCUAGGUCGGAUUAGCUAGUUGGUGGGGUAAAGGCCUACCAAGGCGACGAUCCGUAACUGGUCUGAGAGGAUGAUCAGUCACACUGGAAGUGAGACACGGUCCAGACGCCGACGGGAGGCAGCAGUGGGGAAUAUUGGACAAUGGGGGAAAGCCUGAUCCAGCCAUGCCGCGUGUGUGAAGAAGGUCUUCGGAUUGUAAAGCACUUUAAGUUGGGAGGAAGGGCAGUAAGUUAAUACCUUGCUGUUUUGACGUUACCAACAGAAUAAGCACCGGCUAACUUCGUG
rnacentral:rRNA from 1 species